AUGGGAGCCCCCACAUGCAGGCCCUCAUGGAGCAGCACAGUUCCUUCAUCAGACAUCAAUGAGACCCAGGUUCAAGAAAAUGGUGUUGCCAUCGCUCUCAGCUCCACUGCAUGGAUUCAUACACCUCCCGGCAUUCUGGGACACAUCAAAAUUGCCCAGGUUCAAGUAAAUGGUGUUGCCCCUGGUCACAUCGUUGCUGCAGGGAUCCACACACCUGCGAUUCUGGGACAUAGCAAGAUUGCCCUGGUUGAAGUUAAUGGGGUUGCCCUGAGGAUUCCCACCAUUUCUAAGUGAAUACAGAUAUGGAGCCACUAGAGGGGUGUUAGCCAGAUUUCUUAAGCCAUCUUCAAGUCUUCGUAAGGAAGAAUUCCCCAGCUGGGUGUUGGGAGACAGAAAGAAGGGCUGUCUGUGCUCACAACAAUCUUGGAAACUCAUCUUUGGGAUGCGUAUUAUCUGAAAUCAGGAAAGGAAUAUACUUUGAGGAAAACAAAGACAUUCAGCUUUCACAAGGUCCUUUAUACCCCUAGAUUAACUAGGCUUUUUCCACAAGAAUCCUAAAUUAAAUCUGCAAAAAACAGCCUGAAAUCCAUAGCAAAGCACUAAGCCUACAAAAAUGCACUUAGUCAUUUAGCUACUGGCUGCAUGUACAGUUCAAACAACUUCUUUUCCAAAGAAGAAAGAAAGGUGAUGCUGUCUGGACUCAGGUAGAUUGUAUGGCAGGGUCUGAAAUCACGGCAGUACUCACAUAUUCACAGCGUCCCUGGGUUUGGGAUUAGCUCUAUGACAUGACUUCCCAAAUUCCACCCACACAGGAGACUACUGGGUUUGUGACAGCGCCUUGUCUACACACAUGUCCUCAGCUAGACGACAUGAAGGAUGGCAUCGUGCCGCAAAACCGCCACAAGGAAAGCAGCUGACGCGUACAGUGCAGCAGCUUUCCCACCUCUCCCACAGAUGUCCUUCGAGCUCUCCUCAUGCAGAUAUCCUUCCAUGCAUUGCUUACCCUUGCAGCCUGCAAGAUCCACUUUUUCUCCUCCCUCCCACUUUUCCCCUUUGCAGUCCAAAGCCUUGAUUUUUCAUCUUUCUCAAACCCAUUAAUUUCAGGGCUGAAGUAGAUUGUCCUUGGGGAAAGAGAGAGUUAAGUCUCCUUCUAGCUACCCUGAGGCACAUCUUGAUGGAGAAAGCACAGCAAAGGCAAAGCACACAGCAAAUAAAGACUGGUAGAACAUGGAAGAAUAUCCA
rnacentral:lncRNA from 14 species